AGGAAUAUACUUAUUGUAAUCAAUUCAACUUAUAAUUUCGUGAUUAUCAAGUAAGUAAGUAAUUAAGAUUGUCCAAGAUUUUUGGAAUGUUUGAUUUCUUAACAAAUUUGAAUUGAUAUUAUCCGAUUUAUCAAUUUAAUGAUAGGUGGGGAUAUUUAUUCUAAAUGUGAAACUUUAAAUGUAGGGGAUUAUAAUGUUAAGUAAUUAAGAUUGUCAAAUAU
rnacentral:lncRNA from 1 species